AACGAACGCUGGCGGCAUGCCUAACACAUGCAAGUCGAACGAGACCUUCGGGUCUAGUGGCGCACGGGUGCGUAACGCGUGGGAACCUGCCCUUAGGUUCGGAAUAACUCCCCGAAAGGGGUGCUAAUACCGGAUAAUGUCUUCGGACCAAAGAUUUAUCGCCUUUGGAUGGGCCCGCGUUGGAUUAGCUAGUUGGUAGGGUAAAAGCCUACCAAGGCGACGAUCCAUAGCUGGUCUGAGAGGAUGAUCAGCCACACUGGGACUGAGACACGGCCCAGACUCCUACGGGAGGCAGCAGUGGGGAAUAUUGGACAAUGGGCGAAAGCCUAAUCCAGCAAUGCCGCGUGAGUGAUGAAGGCCUUAGGGUUGUAAAGCUCUUUUACCCGGGAUGUUAAUGACAGUACCGGGAGAAUAAGCUCCGGCUAACUCCGU
rnacentral:rRNA from 1 species